AAAUGAUGGUAUGGGCACCUUUGUAUCAGCAUUUUAAAAUGCUCCCAGGCUUCGUGAAAGAUUUCUCCUUCUAGCUGUUUAAAUGUGGCAAUCUCUCUCCUCAAUUG
rfam:Gossypium raimondii chromosome 5, whole genome shotgun sequence.